rnacentral:sRNA from 1 species
UGCUGCAACCAUCCUGCCGGGCAUGUGUUUUCCUCCCUGUCAGACUGGCCGCGCCCUUGGGUGCGGCCUUUUUUUCAAGUACG